AGCUUUGCACAGUGGCAGUAUUAUAGCUAAUGAGGUUUAUCUUAGGCGCAAUUAUUGCUAAUUGAAAACCACAAUAAGAUACCACC
rnacentral:snRNA from 1 species